rnacentral:rRNA from 1 species
CAGGCUUAACACAUGCAAGUCGAGGGGCAGCAUGGUCUUAGCUUGCUAAGGCCGAUGGCGACCGGCGCACGGGUGAGUAACGCGUAUCCAACCUGCCUUACACUCUUGGACAGCCUUCUGAAAGGGAGAUUAAUACAAGAUGUUAUCAUGAGUAAGCAUUUUCGCAUGAUUAAAGGUUUACCGGUGUAAGAUGGGGAUGCGUUCCAUUAGAUAGUAGGCGGGGUAACGGCCCACCUAGUCUUCGAUGGAUAGGGGUUCUGAGAGGAAGGUCCCCCACAUUGGAACUGAGACACGGUCCAAACUCCUACGGGAGGCAGCAGUGAGGAAUAUUGGUCAAUGGACGAGAGUCUGAACCAGCCAAGUAGCGUGAAGGAUGAAGGUUCUAUGGAUUGUAAACUUCUUUUAUACGGGAAUAAACGAAUCCACGCGUGGAUUUUUGCAUGUACCGUAUGAAUAAGGAUCGGCUAACUCCGUGCCAGCAGCCGCGGUAAUACGGAGGAUCCGAGCGUUAUCCGGAUUUAUUGGGUUUAAAGGGAGCGUAGAUGGGUUGUUAAGUCAGUUGUGAAAGUUUGCGGCUCAACCGUAAAAUUGCAAUUGAUACUGGCAGUCUUGAGUACAGUUGAGGUAGGCGGAAUUCGUGGUGUAGCGGUGAAAUGCUUAGAUAUCACGAAGAACUCCGAUUGCGAAGGCAGCUUACUAACCUGUAACUGACAUUGAUGCUCGAAAGUGUGAGUAUCAAACAGGAUUAGAUACCCUGGUAGUCCACACGGUAAACGAUGAAUACUCGCUGUAGGCGAUAUACAGUCUACGGCCAAGCGAAAGCAUUAAGUAUUCCACCUGGGGAGUACGCCGGCAACGGUGAAACUCAAAGGAAUUGACGGGGGCCCGCACAAGCGGAGGAACAUGUGGUUUAAUUCGAUGAUACGCGAGGAACCUUACCCGGGCUUAAAUUGCAACCGAAUAUGGCGGAAACGCUAUAGCUAGCAAUAGCGGUUGUGAAGGUGCUGCAUGGUUGUCGUCAGCUCGUGCCGUGAGGUGUCGGCUUAAGUGCCAUAACGAGCGCAACCCUUGCCGAUAGUUACUAACAGGUCAUGCUGAGGACUCUGUCGGGACUGCCAUCGUAAGAUGUGAGGAAGGUGGGGAUGACGUCAAAUCAGCACGGCCCUUACGUCCGGGGCUACACACGUGUUACAAUGGGGGGUACAGAGGGCUGCUACCACGCAAGUGGAUGCCAAUCCCAAAAACCUCUCUCAGUUCGGAUUGAAGUCUGCAACCCGACCUCAUGAAGCUGGAUUCGCUAGUAAUCGCGCAUCAGCCACGGCGCGGUGAAUACGUUCCCGGGCCUUGUACACACCGCCCGUCAAGCCAUGGGAGCCGGGGGUACCUGAAGUGCGUAACCGCAAGGAGCGCCCUAGGGUAAAACUGGUGACUGGGGCUAAGUCAUAACA